rnacentral:rRNA from 1 species
CCUACGGGGGGCAGCAGUGGGGAAUAUUGCACAAUGGGCGCAAGCCUGAUGCAGCCAUGCCGCGUGUAUGAAGAAGGCCUUCGGGUUGUAAAGUACUUUCAGUAGGGAGGAAGGUGGUUAAGCUAAUACCUUAAUCAUUUGACGUUACCUACAGAAGAAGCACCGGCUAACUCCGUGCCAGCAGCCGCGGUAAUACGGAGGGUGCAAGCGUUAAUCGGAAUUACUGGGCGUAAAGCGCAUGCAGGUGGUUUGUUAAGUCAGAUGUGAAAGCCCUGGGCUC